GUUGGUUGAAAAUCACCCUGGCUUUGGCCAUGGCUGUGGGUGAGAUUCCGCGCCUAGAGCCUCCAGGAGCCUCAGCUCACCUCCCAUUGCUCUGGUGUGGAGAGGUGAAACCCAGGCCCCGACAAGU
rnacentral:snoRNA from 14 species